GGAGGAGGGCUGGUGGGAGGGCUUUUUUUUUUGGCCCCCUUUCCAUCUUCCCUGCUUCACUGUAAGCUUUCGAGCAACACAAACUAGGCUAAGAUUGCAGCCUGCGGAGACUCCAAGCAGAGUCGGAGAAAUUUGGCCUCGUUUUAAUAGGGCUGAGGAAUGAACUCCGGAGGUCAAUAAAGCCCUCCAAAAAUGAUGAAUGAUUGAGCACCUGUGAUGAUGAUAGUGAUUACCAGAGCAAUUAAACAGUUUGAUUAAAUGAGCCAUCAUAACAAUGAUGUCUGCGGGAAAUCGGCCCUCACAUAUAAAGAAAGAUAGUGCGAAGGGGCUGGCAGAGGCGCGGAUAGCGCGACGCCGGGGAGAGGGGCUGCGGGCCGCGAGGUUUCUGCCCGUUGGCCCGAGCAGGGACAGCCAAGCUCACGGAGCUUCAGGGAGGAGAGUGUAACCCAGGUUUUCAGCCACUGUUUUUGCCCGGCUUCAAGCCUGCUAGAGCCGACGGGUAGGAAAUCUGAAGGUUGGGGGGAGGGUACUUCCUCCACCUCCUCUUUUUUUUCUAGAAGAACUCCAAGAUUAAAAGUAUCCUCCUUAUUUCUUGCUGAGUUGCUCGUCGACAUUUAAGAGAAGCCAUCUAUUACUUUUAAAACAUCCUUUCUCCAUAAACAUCGGCUUAUCCUUGUGAGCUGCUCAUGACCUUCCCAGCAGUGUAACCAGAAGCUCUGAAAGUUGGCCUAGAAAUAAUUGCACUGGCUUCCUUACCUGUUAACUUUACUUGUUCUUCCUAGCUGGGAUGAACAGAGGGAAGGGGACUUUUUUGUUUGCUUUUGUUGGUGGUGGUGGUGGUGGUGGUGGCUUUUGGUCCUUUGGUCCUCUUCCCACUUCAGGUUUCUAUCGUAAAUUUUUCUUCACCUCCUCCCAUUAAUAACGUUUAAGCACCCCACAAUUUAUUUUUUUAAAUAAAAUGGAGUAAAAUUAUUAGACAUUUUUUCCUUUUGCCCCCUUUUCUUCUUAUUUCUCCCAAUUUUAGCUGCUUCAUCUCGCAGAAAGGAUUUCAAUAAAUAGCCCUCUAGCGCUAUCUGGCGGGACUCCAAACACGACGUGCGCUCGCUCUCGCUGUUCCUCCUUCCCUCGCUCUCUUCCUUCCUCUCUUUCUUCCUCUCUCCUUCUUUUUCUUUCGUCUCUUCCGCUAUCUCGAUUGUUUUUCUCGCUUUUCUGUCCUCCUGCGGCCUCUUGUCUAGUUCCUACCCCAACUUGCGGCUCAGGCGGCUUGGAAAGACCCGGCCAGAGACUAGCAACCCUCACAACUGCGGGAUGCUCUGGCCACGGAGCUGUCUCUUCUCAUCCCUCCUCCCCUUACCCAACGCGGGUCGCACACAUCCUUUGCCUUCGAUUAGCAUCUUAAAGUUGCAUAGCGUGUUGCUCAAGUCCCAACAUCUCAGCUGGCGCUGGUUUGGAGGGGCUAAAAACCGCAUUUGUGAAGUUUGGAGGAAAGAAAUCAGACACUGGAAUUCAGGGCUAGUGGAGCCCAGCUAAGUUUUAGGUCAGAAGGCCGAGUCUCAGUGCGAGUUUGAGGAAGGGUCGGGGCUUCACAGGGGUGGGAACAGCACAGCGCGGCGCCUAGCCUGCGAGAGGGAGUCGGAGUGGGAGUGCGAGGGGUCCUCCACCGCCUCCACCCAAUCCGUACUUCACAAUGGACUGCUCGAUUUUGUUUCGUAGGCCUGUCCAGGAUUGUUUUUUCCUUCAAUUAAUAAAGCUUUAUCUUAUUUCCCCAUCCCCCGCCGCCACCAAAUUUGGAGAGGAGUGGGUAAGAACUGGAAAACUCACAGGGCAAACAGCGAAAACCAACAGUAAGACUGCGGGAGGCGGCGAGCGUGGGGAAGCAAUACUCAACUGUCUCCUUCCUCCAUUCCUGCAAUUUGCAGGUCAUUGUCUUUCUUAUUUGUGGCUUUUUUUCUUUUUAUUUUUUUCCAGUAGCCUGUAAACAAUCAACGUUGUGUAGGGAGGUCAGAGGGGAUGGGGCUGUGGGAGAGAUUCGAUUCAGAUUAGAUGCUUUAGAUUUAAACCCGGCUGUAUCCAUACUUUCUUAAAACUCCCCUGUGCGCGGCCUCUCUCUCUCCUCUCCUCUCUCCUCCUUCUCCUCCUCCUCCUCCCUCUCUCUCUCUCUCUCUCUCUCACACACACACACACACAGCCCGAGAGAAAAUUUCAAUCUUUGAGCAAAUCUCUUCCAUCUAGUCCUUGAAACAGAGAAAGGACAUAGAAACUGAAGGAGAGUUAUGAUUGAAUUUUCUAAAAUUUAGUUUUGACUUUGCAAAGUAAAAGUGAGGACCAUAUUCCCAAUAUAGACCCAGAAGGUGGCUAUUUCAGGUGAGGGGACCUCAGCCUGUGGCGUCUAUGAUCAACCAAAGACCCCUUCCUCAAUCUGAAGUUCCACCCCGGACCCAUGGCAAAAAUGGAAUACAAGGGAGGGGAAGAAUGGCACAAUAGUGGGUUCUGUUUUCCAAGAAUUGCCCCCCACCUCCAUUGCGGAAGGAAAAAGGCACAGUUCAGGUGUAAUUAAUUGUUAUUAGGUCAUCAUUAGCCAAGGUACAAAUAAUUGCAGCACAUUUUUACUUAAAAUUGACCAGCCCCACAGUGAUAGAUCGAUUUGGAGUAUAAAAAUGAUGUAUCAAAACAUCAAUGUCGAUUAUUUGAAAUAUUGUAGUCGAAUUUUUUUUUUAUUGCUUCAUCGGUUAAGUGUCUGAAAGUGCAGUGUUCAAACAUAUAUUUAUGUUGUCAAUACUGUCAGAACUGUCAGUUUUACUAUACCGGAUUUGUACUAUAUUUCAAAUAUGCUCAUUUACAUAAAAUGCCCACCCUAGGAUUCCCCCCCUACCUCCACCCCAUUUCUGGAAAAUCCGUGUCAGUUUCUUCAAAGGAUUCGGCAAUCUUUGCCUAAGCUAAAGUGUGCACUGCCUCUUUUACUCGAUUUUCCACAUUGGAUUACAUGUCUUUUUCACCAUCUCUAACUUUCAAAGAGAUCCUUCUUCCUUUCUCUCCAACUCUGCCUACUCUAACCUCUUCUCCAAAAUAGUAUUGAAGCACUUGGAAAGCUUUGAAUUUAAAUAUCCACAUCCCAGCUCCAAAUAUACCAUUGGAGUAAA